AAUCUGUAAUUAACAAAACUUUAGGGACUAAUCUGAAAAAAGUCACUCUAGUCGCCUCUCUCCUCUUCUCCGCAGCUGAGUAUCUUUCAGUAACACAACAGAGAAAGAUGGUUGUACAUAUCUGCUUUGGAGUUGUACGUACCUCUCUACGGCUCCGAUUGACCCGUUUUCCCUCUCCAGGAAGGGACAAUUUGCCAAUCCAGUAAACAGCUCAUCUCGCUUGACCCGCAUCGUCCAAGUUUCGCUUCGUUCCAAUCAAUCUAUUACUACAUAAGUGCAAUACAAUGGAGGACCUCUCUGCAUCGUAGUUAAGAGACCGAAUGCCAUGAUGAGCAGAAAGUAGCUGGUGAAUUGCCAUAUGCAUGUUCUAAUAACCUAUGCAUUUUCACAUGUUCUAUACCUGAUUCGAUGGAGUGCAGGUUUAGCCUCCGGUGAACAAUCUGAACUCACUUUAAUGAAACCGGGACUAGGAAAGGGAUUCAACGUGUGAGCUGCCUCACUAAUCCUAUCAAGACAUGUCCAAUAAGCAAAAGUCUUCCAUUACAUCCAUGAAGCUACAUAAUUGUUUCAGCUGAUUUUGUGGCUAUGUGUUUAAGGAUUUCAGUAUGCAACUUCUUAGGUUUUCUCAGAGGCUACAGAGCUGGGUAGCAAAAAUAGGAGACUCAACACAAGCCUCCUUGUUCGCUGGCAAGUAAUGAAGACAACUUGUUAUUAUUUGGUCGAUUAAAGUGGCGUUACAUAACAUAAUACAAGAAGAACCAUUUUCAGUAUGUGAUCUCAAGGGUGAUAGUGAGGUCCUCGAAUCGUUCAUCUUUUUCACACAAGGAUGGCCAAAGACCAGAUCGAUCUUCUUCAACUCAUUUCAGACUUCCAAGAGCGCUGGACGAAGUUAGGGAAAUCCGACCAAAAAUAACUCUGUUAACCGGUAUGAUGCACCUGAUGGAUCACGACAAAAUAAAAAAAGAUCGCGUGAAGUCGAAGGAGACAGAAUGCCUCGACAUCCAACUGAGCUACGAUGAUGAUCUUCGUGUUCGAGUAACUCUAUAGCCUCUCUCAAGUUUCAUCAUUCAAUAUGAAGCCAUUUUGUUUCAUGAAUCCCUUUGUCACACAUAGCCAUUUUUGCUGAAAAAAAAGAAGAAAAUUUACCAAUUUCUUCAUCAUUUUAGUCAGUUGCAGAUUCUUGUUAGAAAAUCAUUAGUUUUUGAAGAUUCAAAACUCCUUAGUUUAGUUGGAAGGAAUAAUUUGACAUUUUGCCACCGCCCUUUUCACUUCUUGAUUCAUUAGUUACACCAAACUUUAAAUGCAAAUUAAAUUAGUCCAGCAUUUAAAGAAUUUGGAUUUGAAUGAUCUUGAAUGUGAUGUGACAUAAUUAUAAAAAUAAAAUAUCCAUAAAGCAUGAUUUGCAUUAUGCAAGAAA